ACAAUUUCGGGUUUGAUCCUGGCCCAGAAUGAAUGCUAGCGGUAAGCUUUAUACAUGCAAGUCGAACGCACGAAUUUUCGUGAGUGGCGAACGGGUGAGUAACACGUAAGAAUCUACCUAGCAGGUUGAUUGAAAUAAUCAGAUAUCCAAAGGCCAAGGCCCUUGCUAGAUGAGCUUGCGCAAGAUUAGGUAGUUGGUGUGAUAAAAGCGCACCAAGCCAAAGAUCUUUAGCUGAUUUGAGAGAAUGAUCAGCCACAUUGGAACUGAGACACGGUCCAAACUCAAUUGAUGAGGCAGCAGUAGGGAAUCUUGGACAAUGGGCGAAAGCCUGAUCCAGCUAAAUCGCGUGAGUGAUGAAGGUCAUUUAGAUCGUAAAGCUCUUUAAUUGAAGAUAGAUUAUGUCGUACUUCAAUCAAAAAGUCUCGGCAAAUUUCGUGCCAGCAGCCGCGGUAAUACGGGAGAGACGAGUGUUAUUCGGAAUAACUGGGCGUAAAGAGUUCGUAGGCGGAACAGAGAUUUUAAAGCGCAAUCCCAAAGAAAACCUUUGGAAAUUCUUUGAAAAACUCGGUUCUUGAGUGAGAAAGAGGAAAGUGGAAUGUCCUAUGUAGAGAUAAAAUUCGUUGAGAUAGGAUGGAAGGCCAAAGGCGAAGGCAACUUUCUGGGUCUCAACUGACGCUGAGGAACGAAAGCGUGGGGAGCAACAGGGAUUAGAUACCCCUUCUAGUCCACGCCGUAAACGAUGAGUGUUCGCUUUGGGUCUAAGAAAUCGAUCCGAGGCUUAGCUAACGCGUUAAACAUUCCGCCUGGGGAGUACGGUCGCAAGGCUGAAACUCAAAGGAAUUGACGGGGGCUCGCACAAGUGGUGGAUCAUCUUGUUUAAUUCGACACUACGCGCAGAACCUUACCAACCCUUGACAUUAUUCGUUUGAUUUCCUUAAGAGGGAAAUUUAGAAGAGAAUAACAGGUGCUGCAUGGCUGUCGGCAGUUCGUGCUGUGAAGCGUCUGGUUAAGUCCUAAAACGAACGCAACCCCUAUGAGUUUUUUCAUUUGACAAACUCAAACCGCUAGUGAUAAGCUGGAGGAAGGAAGGGAUGACGUCAAGUCCUCAUGGCCCUCAUGGGUUGGGCUACAAAGGUGAUACAAUGGCAAUUACAGAAGGAUGCAAUGAUGCAAGUCGGAGCAAAUCCUUAAAAAUUGUCUUAGUCCGGAUUGGUCUCUGCAACUCGAGACCAUGAAGCUGGAAUCACAAGUAAUCGUGGAUCAGCAUGCCACGGUGAAACUGUUCUCGAGCCUUGUACACACCGCCCGUCACACCGAGGAAGUUAGAUUAAUCUGAAAAAGGAAUUCUCUCACUGACUUUUAAAGAUUUAUCUUGUACAAGAUUGUCUUAGAAAUGCUUUGUUAGGAUUGUUUUGUCGAUUCAUUAGAUAACUUUGGUGAAGUCGUAACAAGGUAGCCGUAGAGGAAUCUGCGGCUGGAUUGACUCCUUU
rnacentral:rRNA from 1 species